rnacentral:lncRNA from 1 species
UUAAGGUCUUGAUAUUAUUUCUGAUAUCUCUGUGUAUGAAUAUAUACAAGUAGCCAAGGGUGUGUUCCUUGAAGCACUCCACUGAUUGUGGAUCUAAUAUCCUAAGAAUGUUACAUAAAUAAAUACAUAAGAUAUGCACAAGUAUUGAUCUAAUCAGUUGCAUGAUUCUGGGGAUUGUACAGAUCUUCUGUGAUGUACAAUAUAUUAGCUG